rnacentral:lncRNA from 11 species
ACAUAGGACUGUGCCAUGGCAGCUAAGGUGGUUUCAAAUUGCAAUAAUUCUACACUAUAGAUUCAUCCUCUGUCAAAGCCUGAUGGCACUACACCUUAU